AAACCGCUUAGGGGUUAAACCCGAUGAACCUGAAUAUCUGAAUUGGGAAAUUCAAUAUGAUUCAAUUAUUUUUAAUUUUUAUUAAUAAAAAAAUUGUAUGCACUUUUCCCAUAGUAAGCCAUUGCAAUCCAUUAAUUAUUUUAACAUUAUUUUGUAAUGUUAAUCGGUUUAUUAAAAGGCCCAAUUGUUUUGUUUAUUCUAGCUGUGGUAAUUUCUCCAAUUAUCAUAUGGAUAAUAGCAACGCGGUGACCCAAUAAACAUUUGAUGGAGUUUAUGAAUCAUCCAAACAUAUUUGUUUAUGUAACACGGUCAAUAUACAUAUAUUUUUAUUUAUGUUGGCGCAGGUGUUCGGAUGCAUUCGAUUGGCAAUGCGAUAGAUUUGGGAUACCUUCGGGACCCGUCUUGAAACACGGACCAAGAAGUUUAACAUAGGCGCAAGUCAUUGGGUAGAUUGUUGAAACCUAAGGGCGUAAUUAAAAUAACUAGUUUUUUUUAACGAAUGGGAUUACAAGAAUUUUUUUUUUUAUUUAUUGAAAAAAAUGUUCUUCUCCAUCCCGGGGCGUUCUAUACGAACAUGAUUUAAGCGAUUGAGUCCUCUGUUCAAGAGCGUACCUUGAGCGUUUAUGCUGAGACCCGAAAGAUGGUGAACUAUACCUGAUCAGGUUGAAGUCAGGGGAAACCCUGAUGGAGGACUGAAGCAGUUCUGACGUGCAAAUCGAUUGUCAGAAUUGGGUAUAGGGGCGUAAGACCAAUCGAACCAUCUAGUAGCUGGUUCCCUCCGAAGUUUCCCUCAGGAUAGCUGGUGCAAUUAAAAUUCUAAUAUAUAAUCUUAUCUGGUAAAGCGAAUGAUUAGAGGCCUUGGGGCCGAAACGACCUCAACCUAUUCUCAAACUUUAAAUGGGUAAGAACCUCAUCUUUCUUGAUGUGAAGAUAUAGAGGUUUAGAUAUAUUGUGCCCAGUGGGCCACUUUUGGUAAGCAGAACUGGCGCUGUGGGAUGAACCAAACGUGAUGUUACGGCGCCUAAAUUAAUGACUCAUAUUGAUACCAUGAAAGGCGUUGGUUGCUUAAAACAGCAGGUCGGUGGGCAUGGAAGUCGUCAUCCGCUAAGGAGUGUGUAACAACUCACCUGCCGAAGCAACUAGCCCUUAAAAUGGAUGGCGCUCAAGUCAUAUGCCUAUACAUCACCGCUAAAGUAUUUGAUUAUUUUCAAUUAUAUUUUUGUGUGAUAAUUGUGAAACUUUAGUGAGUAGGAGGGUACAAUGGUGUGCGCAGAAGUGUUUGGCGUGAGCCUGCAUGGAGCCGCCAUUGGCACAGAUCUUGGUGGUAGUAGCAAAUAAUCGAAUGAGAUCUUGGAGGACUGAAGUGGAGAAGGGUUUCGUGUGAACAGUGGUUGAUCACGAGUUAGUCGGUCCUAAGCUCUAUGCGAAAGCUGUUUAAUUUAUGUA
rnacentral:rRNA from 1 species